AUGGGGUGGCCGGGAGCGCGUGACAUCCGGCUCCCAAGCAGCUCCCAAGCAGGGAAUGCAGCGGUGCUGGCCUCUCCUCUCCGCGCGCCUUUGUCCUGCGUCGUCACUACCGCCAUGGCCUUGCUCGCCAUUGACCUCCCCAAGUGCUUCUCUCCACAAAUGGUGCCGUCAUGUCCAUAUCAAAUCAAGCGCCAGGUACCUCCUGAUUUGAUUUUGUUUAGGAUUUGUAUGGAGCUUGAAUCAGAUCAACGUAACUUGGAGAUGUUUUUUUCCUUCACGGAUACUUGCAGAUAUAUGGAGGAAGAUUAG
rnacentral:rRNA from 1 species